rnacentral:tRNA from 1 species
GGGGUUGUGGCUCAGAGGUAGAACAUUUGCUUAGCAAGCAGAGGCACUGAGUUCAAUCCUCAGCACCA